UACGUAGGGUGCGAGCGUUAAUCGGAAUUACUGGGCGUAAAGCGUGCGCAGGCGGCAGAGCAAGUCGAGUGUGAAAGCCCCGGGCUUAACUUGGGAAUUGCGCUCGAAACUACUUUGCUGGAGUGUGGCAGAGGAAGGUGGAAUUCCACGUGUAGCGGUGAAAUGCGUAGAGAUCUGGAGGAAUACCGAUGGCGAAGGCAGCCUUCUGGCCUAAUACUGACGCUGAGGUGCGAAAGCAUGGGGAGCAAACAGG
rnacentral:rRNA from 1 species